rnacentral:rRNA from 1 species
UGUUUCCUGACUGUAAUUAUGGCCCCGGAUGAACGCUACCUCCGGGCUUAACACAUGCCAGUCGAGGGGCAGCGGUAUCGAAAGCUUGCUUUCGGUAGCCGGCGACCGGCGCACGGGUGAGUAACGCGUAUCGAACCUGCCUCACACUCGGGAAUAGCCUUGCGAAAGUAAGAUUAAUGCCCGGUGUUUUCAGAGUCCCGCAUGAGGCUUUGAACAAAGAUUUAUCGGUAUGAGAUGGCGAUGCGUCCCAUUAGCUUGUUGGCGGGGUAACGGCCCACCAAGGCAUCGAUGGGUAGGGGUUCUGAGAGGAAGGUCCCCCACAUUGGAACUGAGACACGGUCCAAACUCCUACGGGAGGCAGCAGUGAGGAAUAUUGGUCAAUGGGCGGAAGCCUGAACCAGCCAAGUAGCGUGCAGGAAGACGGCCCUCCGGGUUGUAAACUGCCUUUAGUUGGGAAUAAAACGGGGCUCGUGAGCCCCCUUGCAUGUACCAUCAGAAAAAGGACCGGCUAAUUCCGUGCCAGCAGCCGCGGUAAUACAGAAGGUCCGGGCGUUAUCCGGAUUUAUUGGGUUUAAAGGGAGCGCAGGCGGACCUUUAAGUCAGCUGUGAAAUACGGCGGCUCAACCGUCGAACUGCAGUUGAUACUGGAGGUCUUGAGUGCACACAGGGAUGCUGGAAUUCAUGGUGUAGCGGUGAAAUGCUCAGAUAUCAUGAAGAACUCCGAUCGCGAAGGCAGGCAUCCGGGGUGCAACUGACGCUGAGGCUCGAAAGUGCGGGUAUCAAACAGGAUUAGAUACCCUGGUAGUCCGCACAGUAAACGAUGAAUACUCGCGGUUUGCGAUACAUUGUAAGCCGCCAAGCGAAAGCG